rnacentral:rRNA from 1 species
CCUGAUCCAGCAAUGCCGCGUGAGUGAUGAAGGCCUUAGGGUUGUAAAGCUCUUUUACCCGGGAUGAUAAUGACAGUACCGGGAGAAUAAGCUCCGGCUAACUCCGUGCCAGCAGCCGCGGUAAU